UGAUGCCCUUAGAUGUUCUGGGCCGCACGCGGGCUACACUGGCGCCUGCAUCGAGCAUAUCAGCUGGCCCGAGAGGGUCUUGGCUAAUCUUUUGAAACGGCGCCGUGCUUGGGAUUGACCUUUGCAAUUGUUGGUCAUGCAACGAGGAAUGCCUAGUAAGCACAUGUCAUCAUCAUGUGCUGAUUACGUCCCUGUCCUUU
rnacentral:rRNA from 1 species